rnacentral:lncRNA from 1 species
CUUAUUUAUGAGCCUGAGCUAGAUUCUUUUAGAGAGGCGUCCUUACAGGCUGCAUCAACCCCCCUCCCUCUCCCUCUCCCUCUCCCUCUCCCCCCCCCCCCCCUCUCUCUCUCUCUCUCUCUCUCUCUCUCUCUCUCUCUCUCUCUCUCUCUCUCUUCCUCCCUCCCUCCCUCUCUCCCUCUCUCUCUCUCUCUCUUCCUCCCUCCCUCCCUCUCUCCCUCUCUCCCUCCCUCCCUCCCUCUUCCCCCCUUCCAACUGGCGCACUACCACACUAUGAAAGCAAUGGAACUCCAGACCUCGGGCGGAGACACAUUGGCAGUGCUCACCGUAUGAAGCAAAUGUAACAUAAGAGGAAGCACCCAGGCUGAGAGGGAGGAGGAGAGACGUCCCCAGAAGCCACGACUUUGGAGGGCUGCAGCGGCAGAGGAGCUGGAAAACAGUGAGGCGGCGACUUCUCUGAGACAAGACAGAACCUACACAGUGCUUGCCUCCGGCCCCUGGGGGUGCUAUCAUUGCAUCUAAGAUUUAAGAAGAACCUUUCACAAGUAAGGAUGUGACUCAGUAGAAUGCCCGCCUAGAGUGCCCAGAUCUCCAAAUAUGGGCUCUAGUAAGUAAACUGGGUACGGUGGCACACCCCUGAAAUCCUAGCACUGGGGAUCCAGAGGCCAGUCUUUGCUACACGGUAAAUUUGAGGUCAGUCAGUCUGAGUUACACGACACCCCGUCCUCAAACCAAAAGCAGAGCUGGAAGAAUGGUUUUGGGGUUCAAAGCACUGGCUGCCCUCCUACAGGAUGCAGCUUUGAUUCCCAGCACCCAUACAUACAAGGCAGCUCACAGCUAUCUGUAAUUCCAGUUCCAGAGCAUCCUUUGCCCUCCUCUGGUCUCCGUGUAAUCUGAUGCCCUCUUCUGGCCUCGAUGGGCAUUGCAUGCACUUGACACAUGCAAAACACACAUAAAAUUAAAAUAGAUAUAUAUUUUUUUAAAUGAAAAACGAAUCCCCAGGAACCUUUGCCUCAUUAAAUCCACACAGAAGAAGCUGUAGGUAGUAAUUGUUCAGUGUGCUAGGUGUGGGUAUGAUGUACCUGUGUUUUCAUAAAAUGAAGAGUAAAACUCUCCUGACAUGCAGUAUGAAAAGAUCUACUUUUAUACAAAAUUUGAAAAUGAGAGACUAAUGAUCAGUCAUCUACACCCCCGACACCACACACACACACACACACACACACACACACACACACACACACACCACCUCCUGAGGUGAACAGCUUUGCUGUCACAUGUUCCUGUCAUAAGUCACAAACAAUAGGACCACCCAAUCAUAGACUGCAACCUUCAAAACUAUGAGCCACUAUAUAUUUCUUCUCUUUACAACUUUCUCUUUACAAGCCUUGAAUAUUUUGUUAUGGUGACAGAGUGCUGAGUCUUACAGGGGGUGUCCUGGUACAAGUUCGUUCUUUUACAAUGUCUUCAGACAUCAAAGCCUAAGGAUGCACACAGCAGGCAGUAGACCUUCUCAGUGCACCAGCUGCCCAGAGAAGCCCAUGUUCUGAAGAAGCUGAGGUUUUAAAAGGGGUUUGGGUUUCCUCUCUAUGGCAUAUGUUUUAAAAUUGGGCUGUGUUAGGUGAUCAGAGGACUAGAUCAGGCAAUAAAAAAAACUCAGUGCAUAGAGGCUAGUGUCGUGGAAGCCUCCCUAUGCCCGAGAUGAUACAAGAUCAUUGUGCCUUGUGUGCAGCGUGGUCAAGUGUCCCAGCAGACAGUCACCGAGGAGUAAAGUGCCUGCAUUAUAAUUAAACAGAAAAGUCUAAAGAUUUUUAUUCUCUCCUUUUGUUACUCUGAAAUCUUCUUGAAAAAUCGAGAGAAUGUUGUACUUCACUUUGUUGUGUGCAGAGUUCGGGCUAACACCGCAUGCUGGGUCCAGGCAGAGCAGCAAACGCCGUUGGGCAUCACAGUAGUCAAAAUUUUCAUUUGGUUUUCCUUUACACCACAGAUAGAGCACUGUAGUGAUUUCGUUCCUGAUGCUGAAGAUCUGAGUCCAUGCAGGUUAUCCCUGUGCUUCGUAUCCACAGAGAGGAAAGCUCUGCAAAAUGUCAGCUGUUAAGAGGCCGAAGAGAAAGAAAGGCGGGCUUCGUGCUCGGGCCGGACUAGAACGCGGGUCCUGGCAGGUGCACUGAACACAGAGCAGAGGCACCCGCAGGCUGACCCAACUUUAUGCGAAGUGUUGCUGGCACACAAGUGAACCAGCAAAGAGAGAGAUGAGAAGCACCCAAACUGAGGGUCUUUAACAGUUUGUCAGAGUAAGCCCUGCCCCUCCCCAUCUAACUUCCUCCUGUCUUGACUUAGUUGAUGUACAAAAUAGCAAGGCUUACUUCCAUGAGACUGAUAUGCCUUUCUUUGCUAAAACCCCAGGGUUAGUGAGUCCCAUGGCCCUCCUGUCUCCAACUCCGCCCCUAGCACCGGGGUUGCCAGCACUUGCCUCCACGGGCAGCUUUUUUACUGGGUGCUGGGAUGGGAACUGGGGUCCUCAUGCUUGCCUGACAAACACCUUACUCAGCUUCCAUGAGAAUCUUUUAAAAAUGAAAGCCAGACAGAAGGUGAUUGGCGGUUUUUAUAAACCUUCAAGCUUACACGACUUUUACAUAUUGGAAAAUUGCAAAGAUGUAUGAAUUGAAAAUAUGGCUGCAGACCAUUCGUUUUUCGACCUUGAAAUAAAUAUUUGUUAUCUUGUCUCAAGAUGAGAAUAAUAAUUAUCCC